rnacentral:rRNA from 1 species
AAACCAGCACCUCAAGUGGUCAGGAUGAUUAUUGGGCCUAAAGCAUCCGUAGCCGGCUCUGUAAGUUUUCGGUUAAAUCUGUACGCUUAACGUACAGGCUGCCGGGAAUACUGCAGAGCUAGGGAGUGGGAGAGGUAGACGGUACUCGGGAGGAAGUGGUAAAAUGCUUUGAUCUCUCGAUGACCACCUGAGGCGAAGGCGGUCUACCAGAACACGUCCGACGGUGAGGGAUGAAAGCUGGGGGAGCAAACCGGAUUAGAAACCCUAGUAGUCC